rnacentral:lncRNA from 1 species
CAUCCUCGAAAGACGGCCGAGAUGAUGGUUCUGGACAUGUACAUUUGCGUGUAAUAGAUACAAUGAUCGAUAACGACUCUUGUGAGCUAGUCAUUAACACAGCUGGAUCCACAAUUCGCUUUCGACCAUCCUGGCUGCCAAAGGAUGCAUGUGAUAUGUAAUACAAGAUAUUUAGAAGUAAUAACUUUCUCCAAUUCUGAAGGAAAAAAGAAACAACAGAAAGUUCCAAAACUGAACACACUUUGACUGUGCAUUUGACUAGCCAUUAUCAUUGUGGUAAAGUUGUGUUAAUGGACUUCAUAGGUGAAAAAUAAGUUCCUUACCAUUUCAUUUAAAAGAAAUGUUUCUCCUUUUCCACUCACUAUAGGCCCAACAAGAGACUCUAGUAAUAUAAAUCCGAAGUUGUAAACAUCAUCCUCUAAAGUUUGCCUUUGGCUGCAACAAAAAUUUAAAUUAGAAUGUUUGAGGGGCAUGUCCAUCCUUUUAUGUAAAGAUGGAAGUCCAAUUUCAUUCAUGGUUGCAAGCUGAAAGUAUGGAUAC